rnacentral:lncRNA from 1 species
UAGAGAGUGUCUGGUGAGGCAGGUCUAGAGAGUGUCUAGUGAGGCAGGUCUAGAGAGUGUCCAGUGAGGCAGGUCUAGAGAGUGUCUGGUGAGGCAGGUCUAGAGAGUAUCUAGUGAGGAAGGACUGGAGAGUGUCUGGUGAGGCAGGUCUAGAGAGUGUCUGGUGAGGCAGGUCUAGUGAGGCAGGUCUGGAGAGUGUCUAGUGAGGCAGGUCUAGAGAGUGUCUAGUGAGGCAGGUCUAGAGAGUGUCUGGUGAGGCAGGUCUAGAGAGUGUCUAGUGAGGCAGGUCUAGAGAGUGUCUAGUGAGGCAGGUCUAGAUAGUGUCUGGUGAAGCAGGUCUAGAGAGUGUCUAGUGAGGCAGGUCUAGAGAGUGUCUAGUGAGGCAGGUCUAGAGAGUGUCUAGUGAGGCAGGUCUAGAGAGUGUCUGGUGAGGCAGGUCUAGAGAGUGUCUGGUGAGGCAGGUCUAGUGAGGCAGGUCUAGAGAGUGUCUGGUGAGGGAGGUCUAGAGAGUGUCUAGUGAGGCAGGUCUAGAGGGGGUCUUGUGAGGCAGGUCUAGAGAGUGUCUAGUGAGGCAGGUCUAGAGAGUGUCUGGUGAGUCAGGUCUAGAGAGUGUCUGGUGAGGCAGGUCUAGUGAGGCCUGGUCUAGAGAGUGUCUGGUGAGGGUGGUCUAGAGAGCGUCUAGUGAGGCAGGUCUAGUGAGGCAGGUCUAGAGAGUGUCUGGUGAGGCAGGUCUAGAGAGUGUCUGGUGAGGCAGGUAUAGAGAGUGUCUGGUGGGGCAGGUCUAGAGAGUGUCUGGUGAGGCAGGUCUAGAGAGUGUCUGGUGAAGCAGGUCUAGAGAGUGUCUGGUGAAGCAGGUCUAGAGAGUGUUUAGUGAGGCAGGUCUAGAGAGUGUCUAGUGAGGCAGGUCUAGAGAGUGUUUAGUGAGGCAGGUCUAGAGAGUGUCUAGUGAGGCAGGUCUAGAGAGUGUCUGGUGAGGCAGGUCUAGAGAGUGUCUAGUGAGGCAGGUCUAGAGAGUGUCUGGUGAGGCAGGUCUAGAGAGUGUUUAGUGAGGCAGGUCUAGAGAGUGUUUAGUGAGGCAGGUCUAGAGAGUGUUUAGUGAGGCAGGUCUAGAGAGUGUUUAGUGAGGCAGGUCUAGAGAGUGUCUAGUGAGGCAGGUGUAGAGAGUGUCUAGUGAGGCAGGUCUGUACAUGAUCAUGACAUGCUGAGGUGUGUUUGUAUUUUGUGGAAGGGAAAUCUGAUAGGUGGAGCCACUCAUUGAAUCCCUUUGACAUUCCUGCCCAUCUGAAAGAAUGGCGUUAUUGUUAAAGAGUUUAGUUUGGUGUU